AGGACGAACGCUGGCGGCGUGCUUAACACAUGCAAGUCGAACGAUGAAGCCCAGCUUGCUGGGUGGAUUAGUGGCGAACGGGUGAGUAACACGUGAGUAACCUGCCCUUGACUCUGGGAUAAGCGUUGGAAACGACGUCUAAUACCGGAUACGAGCUUCCACCGCAUGGUGAGUUGCUGGAAAGAAUUUUUGGUCAAGGAUGGACUCGCGGCCUAUCAGCUUGUUGGUGAGGUAACGGCUCACCAAGGCGACGACGGGUAGCCGGCCUGAGAGGGUGACCGGCCACACUGGGACUGAGACACGGCCCAGACUCCUACGGGAGGCAGCAGUGGGGAAUAUUGCACAAUGGGCGAAAGCCUGAAUGCAGCAACGCCGCGUGAGGGACGACGGCCUUCGGGUUGUAAACCUCUUUUAGCAGGGAAGAAGCGAAAGUGACGGUACCUGCAGAAAAAGCACCGGCUAACUACGUGCCAGCAGCCGC
rnacentral:rRNA from 1 species